UUAAAAUUUAAUUUUAGUUUUUUUGUUGAUUAAUUCAUUUAUUUAUAUGGAUUAUAUUAAUAGAUUUUAUCCAGUAAUUAAUAUUUUUAACUAAUUUUAUAAUUUAUAAAGGAAUUGAAUUUAUAUUAGGUAAAAUUUGUGCCAGCAUUCGCGGUUAUACAAUUUAUUAAAGUUAAUUUUUUAGGAUAUAAUUAUUAUAAGUUAGAAUGAACUUACUAUAAAAAUAUUUAGGUGGAAUUUAUUUUUUUAUACAAAUUUCUAUAUUAAAUAUUAAGAAAGUUUAAAUGUUAAACUAGGAUUAGAUACCCUAUUAUAUUUACAUAAAUUUUUAUUCUGAAUAUGUAUUAGUUAAGUUCUUUAAAGCUCAAAAGAUUUGGCGGUAAAAUAUUUUUUUAGAGGAAUUUGUAGGUUAAUUGAUACACCACGAUAGUUUAUACCUUAUAGUAUAUUUGUAUAUCGCUAUUACUAUAGAAUGUUUUUUAAGGAAUUUUCUUUAACUUGAUAAAGGUUAAUGUUAGGUCAAGGUGCAGUUUUUUUAAGGUUCCUAUGGAUUACUAUUAUACUAAAUAAUAUAAGGAUAAAUCUUCCUAUGAGUUAUUUUGAAUAAGGAUUUAAUAGUAAUUUUAAUAGAUUAAUUAAUUUGAAUUUUAUACUAUUUUAUGUACAUAUCGCCCGUCACUCCUAAUUAAAUUAGGAUAAGUCGUAACAAAGUAACUCCACCGGAAGGUGGAGUUAGAAUGAUU
rnacentral:ncRNA from 1 species